CAGACGCUUAACCCACCGAGCCACGCAGGUGCCCCAUAUCGGUCUUAUUUCCAUUUAGUUUUGUUGUUGUGAUAUAAUACACUCUGUAUGAUUUCAACACUUUUCAAGUUCUUGAAACUUGUGUUUAGAAUUUUGUGACCUGCAUAGCAAAGAGAGGGCAAGAAUGAGAAAAAAUGAAAUGAUGUCUGUGGAAUGCGGUUGUGUUAUAAAUAAUCAUGUGUGUUGUCUGAUGGCAAUUGGGAUUUCUCUAAUGUCCAGAAGAGAUUUUGAAAGAUUUUACAGAGAGAAUCACAUGAUCAAAUCCACAGCGACUUUUCAGUUAAGUAAAAAUUAAAAUACAAAUAAAAAGAAAACUUGUAGUGAGUGUUAAAUCUGAGGUCAAGACUGUUUUAAAAAUUCGUAACGGCCAUCAUUGUUAAGUUGUUGAUAAAAAUGAUGUACGAUAGCCUUUAGAUUUAAAAGAGAAACAAAGCAAAACAAAAUCUCCAGAUUACUUAAACAAAUAAGGGGUAAAGUUAUCCACAAAUUUUUUUUUGAAAUCUAAUAUCUAAAAUAAGCCCAAGACUUUUGAUGAAAAAACUUAUGAUCAUAGUGACAGGUGCAAUAAAUUAAAAAUAAAAUUAUAUGUAUUUGACUAAGAGCUUCAUGUUCUGGCAGAAUACUAGAAAUCACACCCCCUCCCCCAAGACACCAUAAGCCAACCUCUGGAGCCUGUGAACAUGAGGAGAUAUCAUGCUUGCUACCCAGAGCUGGAAUAUUUUUCACGUGUCUGGUUGGGAAAGUCUGAGGCUGUCCCCUGCAGAAUUCCAGUUGAAUGUGGGCAUGAAACGGAAUUGAAUGCUAAUGAUUUCCGGAUGCACAGGAGACUUAUCUCUGAUCUUCACUGUGGGAAACUGGUGAAGCUCCUGGAGAUAAAAGUCUUGAAUGUGUGUGUCCCCCCACCUCCCUGCCACUUCCCACCAUGACUGUGUCUUGCUGGAGCUGUUACAUCUCAGGCUUGUCUGUUCUGAGCCUUCAGCAACUCAUCACUUACAUUUCAGGCUUUCCCAACCAAGCCCUGUUUCUCUUGGACGUCUCUGCUCAUGGACUUCUGUUUCGGUAAAUUGUGAUUCUCUGCAUCUGCCCGUGUCUCUAAAAUUUUAGGGGCUGUGGUUUGUCCCGUGACCUCACUUCUCUGACAGAUCUAGGAGGAGCUGUUGAUUUUUCACUUUGCUCAACUUUUUAUUUGUUAGGACGGAGUGAUGGCUUCCAAGCUGCUUACACGGGACACUGGGUUUCAUUACUAUUUAUUUUAUAUUUUUUGUUGCUUCUACUCUCCUACUUCUCAUUUCUUUCCUUCUACUUUGCAUUUAAAUUGUUCUUUUUCCAGAUUCUUAAGGUGAAAGCUUAGGUCACUGAUUUGAGUUUUUUUGUUUUUUGUUUUUAAUCUUUCCUAAUAUAAUCAUGCAAAGCUAUAUGUUUCUUGAAUGGGCUGCUUUACCUGCAGCUCGUAUUUAAUAUGUAGCUUUAAAUUCAUCACUUAGUAAACUAUUUUUAAUGUUUCUUGUCAUUUCUUCUUUGAGCCACAUGUUAUUUGGAAUUGUGUU